GCCUACGGGGGGCAGCAGUGGGGAAUAUUGGACAAUGGGGGAAACUCUGAUCCAGCGACGCCGCGUGAGUGAAGAAGUAUUUCGGUAUGUAAAGCUCUAUCAGCAGAGAAGAAAAUGACGGUACCUGACUAAGAAGCCCCGGCUAACUACGUGCCAGCAGCCGCGGUAAUACGUAGGGGGCAAGCGUUAUCCGGAUUUACUGGGUGUAAAGGGAGCGUAGGCGGCCAUGCAAGUCAGAAGUGAAAACCCGGGGCUCAACCCUGGGAGUGCUUUUGAAACUGUGCGGCUAGAGUGUCGGAGGGGUA
rnacentral:rRNA from 1 species